rnacentral:lncRNA from 1 species
CCAAAUGUACUUUUUAAAAUAAAUUUAUGCAUGAAUGGUCAUCGUGUGUGUGUAUGCGGACCGUUAAGGUUAAUUAAGAGAUGAAACCCAUCGAUUUAAUUAUGUCUUAAAUUGUUUUUUUUUUGUUGUUGUUGUUAUUGUUAAAAUACAUGCCUUAAAUUGUUAUAAAGUUACUAUUUCCAUCUAAUAAUAAAGUUUGCACUACUUGUUCAUCUUGAAACGAAUAGUUUCACACUAUUAAGG